rnacentral:lncRNA from 1 species
CUUUUCUGUGCCGGGGCUUUGGCACACAAGGAGCUUGGGGGCCUAGGGAGACGAGGCUGGCAGGGGUAGGCGCAGUUGGUGCGUGGCAAACCGAACCUGUCAAUUCCAGAAGCUUUUGGCACAUUGUUGAAGCGACUAGAUGACUUUGAGAAGUGUCUGCAUGUUUUUUCCCCAAGUGCAGUUAUUUUUGCUGCUGUGAAAUGUUCUGAAAUCUGACAGUUUUGUUUUGAGUCUUAGCCCGAUGGGAAGACGGAAAGGAACACUGCCUCCCAGUUCUGUGGCACCCGCUUCUCGGGGUCUCCUGAGGACACCCAGAUCCUGGCAGAGGUGGCCAAGGAGAAGCCAGGGGA